AUGAACGGCGCCGAGUUCGACCCCUGUGAUGCUACGUGGGUGCUGAGGAACACUCUUGGAGAGUACUUGCUUUUCAUCGGGGAUAGCUACCCCAUUGUGAAGCGGAUGCCACCUUCCGUGCACGACAUAGAAGGCCUGUCGUUCAUGAAGCAUGGUUGUGUCUUCGGUGCGCACCGCCGGAUGAACGACAUGCUGGGACACGCUAUCCCUGAUUUAUGUCGCUUCAGCUUGGAUGAGUCUCCAUCGUGUGGAACCGGACUAGAAAGCUGCGACAAUGAUUCCCGUUGCCCACCAUUAUGGAUCGUGCCAUCCAUGAAGAACACCUGGGACUGGAACCUGGAGGAGGACAUGUAG
rnacentral:rRNA from 1 species